AGAGUUUGAUCCUGGCUCAGAUUGAACGCUGGCGGCAGGCCUAACACAUGCAAGUCGAGCGGUAGAGAGGAGCUUGCUCCUCUUGAGAGCGGCGGACGGGUGAGUAAUGCCUAGGAAUCUGCCUGGUAGUGGGGGAUAACGUUCGGAAACGGACGCUAAUACCGCAUACGUCCUACGGGAGAAAGCAGGGGACCUUCGGGCCUUGCGCUAUCAGAUGAGCCUAGGUCGGAUUAGCUAGUUGGUGAGGCAAUGGCUCACCAAGGCGACGAUCCGUAACUGGUCUGAGAGGAUGAUCAGUCACACUGGAACUGAGACACGGUCCAGACUCCUACGGGAGGCAGCAGUGGGGAAUAUUGGACAAUGGGCGAAAGCCUGAUCCAGCCAUGCCGCGUGUGUGAAGAAGGUCUUCGGAUUGUAAAGCACUUUAAGUUGGGAGGAAGGGCAGUUACCUAAUACGUAAUUGUUUUGACGUUACCGACAGAAUAAGCACCGGCUAACUCUGUGCCAGCAGCCGCGGUAAUACAGAGGGUGCAAGCGUUAAUCGGAAUUACUGGGCGUAAAGCGCGCGUAGGUGGUUUGUUAAGUUGGAUGUGAAAUCCCCGGGCUCAACCUGGGAACUGCAUUCAAAACUGACUGACUAGAGUAUG
rnacentral:rRNA from 1 species